rnacentral:rRNA from 1 species
UACGGAGGGUGCAAGCGUUGUCCGGAAUCAUUGGGUGUAAAGGGUGUGUAGGUGGAGAUGUAAGUCAGUGGUGAAAGCCCGCAGCUUAACUGCGGAACUGCCUUUGAUACUGCAUCUCUUGAGUCCUGGAGAGGCUACUAGAAUUCGUGGUGUAGCGGUGAAAUGCGUAGAUAUCACGAGGAAUACCAGAGGCGUAGGCGGGUAGCUGGACAGGUACUGACACUGAGGCACGAAAGCGUGGGGAGCAAACAGG